rnacentral:rRNA from 1 species
AUGGCAAUCAUUCCAGCAAUACCGACAAGCACCCCUUUGAACACAAGCACUACCAACACUCAAGUGGAUGGAAUUGCCGCUGAUACUGAAGUGAAUGAUGAAACUGACGACGAGGCAGAAGGGGGUGAAGAUGGCGGGCAAUCAAAGAUCAUGGUACCUCAGCCACCGUACAUUGGGCAGAGAUUUGAAUCGUUCGAAGAAGCAAAGGAAUACUACCAGACAUAUGCAAAGUUCCAUGGAUUUGCGGUCAACACCGAGUACCAUAGGAAAAUUAAGAAAACUAAUGAGUACAGCAGAGGUGAGAUGAGGUGCCACAAGGCACGGAGGAACAAGAAGGGGAAAGGUGAUGCGCCUGUCGUUCCGGAACGAAAAAGAGGAAUCAUUCUCAAGACAGGAUGCCCUGUCCGGUGUAAGCUUAACGUAGAUGGAACACAGUAUGUGGUCACCGAAUAUUUUGACGAGCACAACCACAAUCUCAUAAAGAAGUUCGACCUGGUCAAAUUUCUGACCGCCCAUAGAGGAUUCACCCCAGUUGAAAGGCAAUUCGUAAAGCUGCUACAUGAUUGUAACGUCGGUCCAUCAAGAAUGGUCCAGAUACUAUCACUCAUCCACAGCAAAAAGGGGAACAUGCCAUACAUACCGGCUGACGUCACAAACCUACAGGCCAAGUACCUUAGAGAGAGCAGGCUGGCUGACAUAGAGGCUACAAUUGCCUACUUCAAUGAGAAAGCAAAAGAAGAUCCAGAUUUCUUCUACAGGAUAAGGUUGGACGAUGAGGACCGUGUCAGGAACAUGUAUUGGAUGCCAUGCGCUCCGUUCAUAGGAAUAAAUAACCACAAUCAGUCGUUGCAGUUCGGCUGCGGGCUCAUUCGGAAUGAAGACACGGAUGGUUACGUCUGGUUGUUCAAGACCUUCUUGGAGUGUAUGGAUGGACUUGCGCCGAUGAACAUAAUAACAGACCAGGAUUUCAGAAUGCGUGCAGGCAUAGAGGAGGCUGAGGAGAUGCUAGGACCGUUCUUUGCUGACCGUCCAGAACUGCACAAGGCAUUCGAGCUGUGCGUGGACCACAACUUGACGGUCGAGGAGUUUGAAAGGAGCUGGAUGGCCAUGGUUGAAACACAUGAAGUCCAAGACAACGAGACGCUUGCUAGCCUGUGGGAGAAGCGAAUGUACUGGGUGCCCGCCUACUUCAUGCAGUGCUUCUUCCCCUUUCUGCAGACUACACAACGCAGCGAGGGGUUCAAUGCUGUUUUGAAGCGAUACGUGAGUCCUAGCAACUCAUUGCUACAGUUUGCCAAGCAAUAUACAGCUUUGCAACAAAAAAUACUGGGAUCUGAGCUACAGCAAGAAGCGAACACUGCACUGAAGCAGCCAAAAUUGCUGACGUAUUUACCGAUGGAGAGGCAAAUGAGCAAGAUAUACACAAACAAGAUAUUUAACAAGUAA